rnacentral:rRNA from 1 species
UACGUAGGGUGCAAGCGUUGUCCGGAUUUAUUGGGCGGAAAGAGCUCGUAGGUGGUCUGUCGCGUCGGAUGUGAAAACCCAGGGCUCAACCCUGGGCCUGCAUUCGAUACGGGCAGACUAGAGUGUGGCAGGGGAGACUGGAAUUCCUGGUGUAGCGGUGAAAUGCGUAGAUAUCAGGAGGAACACCGGUGGUGUAAACGGCUUUCUGGACCAUAACUGACACUGAGGCACGAAAGCGUGGGUAGCAAACAGG